rnacentral:rRNA from 1 species
GAUGAACGCUGGCGGCGUGCCUAAUACAUGCAAGUCGAGCGAACGGACGAGAAUCUUCCUUCUCUGAGGGUAGCGUCGGACGGGUGAGUAACACGUGGAUAACCUACCUAUAAGACUGGGCUAACGUCGAGAAACCGGAGCUAAUACCUGAUAAUCGUUUGAACCGCAGUGUGCAAAAGGGAAUGACGGUCGUGCUGUCACUUGUAGAUGGAUCCGCGCUGCAUUAUCUAGUUGGUAAGGGAACGGCGUACUAAGGCAACGAUGAAUAGCGGACCUGAGAGGGUGAUCGUGGACACUGGAACUGGGACAGGGUUCCGACUCCUACGGGAGCGAGCAGUAGGGGAGGGGAAGAAAUGGGAGAGAGCCUGACGGAGCAACGCCGCGGGAGUGAUGAAGGUCUUCGGCUCGUAAAUCUCUGCUAUUAGGGAAGACCAUAUGGGUAAGUAACUGUACAGGUCUUGACGGUAGUUAUACAGGAAGCCACGGCUAACUACGUG